CGGACCCUUAGGGAGAGUGGGACAAAGACACCGGCUGGACAGAGAGGCAGAAGAUGUUACAUGAAAUAAUGACCUCCACUGCUGGUAAAGAAAUGGUCAACGGAAAGUUCAACGGAGAGUCCGAAUGAGUGUGUUAGAACAGUGAACAGGUAGGCUAUGACGCCUGCGAGGAAACAACGGUUCGGAUGCGACGUGGCGGCGGACGCAAGAUGGAGAUCAGCGGGUGAACCCUCCCUCUCUAAGCAGCACUGGCUGUCUCUCCCCCUCCCUCUCCCCCACCCUGACCCCCACCCUCAGCACUGGCC
rnacentral:lncRNA from 1 species